CCUUCCUGGAGCAAGGCAGAGAGCCCUGGACGGUGGAGAUGGCAGCGGCAGGCGGCACGCGCCCCGUGCCGACGGGGAAAUGCUCCUCUCGACUCCAGCCCCUUAUGUGGAAUCAGGAUAGAGAGCUUCUUAGAGAAAGUACGAGAGACAGAAGACAGUUCCUUCAUGACAUCACAGAAACCGUGAGCUCUGCUAGCAACAGAACUGGCUUCCGGGCUCAGGGGCAGACUGCUGCCCUGGGCGAGCUUCGGGUCCUUCUGAGGGUGUGUCCUUAUCCAGAGGUAGAGGCAAGCCCGAAGCAGCAGAAAAUGCCACUUUUGUCGCGAAUUUCACUCAGGUUUUUCUAUUUCCAAGCCAAAUAUGAUCUCCCUACUGGAGCAAGGGAAUGAACCCUGGAUGGCGAAGAGAGAUGUGGCCAGAAGCUUGUGCCCAGAUUGGGUAUCCCUGUGGGAAAAAAAUGGAAAAAUUUACAAAGAUCCUGGGGUCCCCAGUUUCUAGGAUGACUGGGAAUGUAAAGGCACACUUGCAAGACAUCAAAAAAAUGAGGAAGGACAUUUCAGUCAAGUCAUAAUCACCCAGGAGGAAGUACCUGCUCUGAGACAGAAAUAUCAACAUUUUCUUAUGUCAACUAUCUUAUGUAAGUGCUCAUCAAGUCUUUAACCAUUGUCAUUUGUAAGUCUUUUGUCAUUUAAAGUCACUGUUUUGUUACUCCUAAACUAGUAAAGAACUAGAUUUCAGCAGAACAGGUAUUGGUUACAUAAGAUUAAGUAAACUAAAGAAGACGAUUUUGUAGCUUUUUGUUUCAAAUGUUGCUGACAAAAUGUUUUAAGCUUUUUCUCUUAAGCUGACUGACAACGCUCCAGUUUACCUCUCCUCUAUGCUAAAAAAAAUUUUUUUUAGCUAUAUAAUAUCACUCAUUAAACAGGCAUUUCAUACAAUUCUACAGGCCAAGCUCUAAUUGAACAUCGCCAUCUUACUCUUAAGCAUUAUUUAUUAAAACAAAAAGGGGGAUUACUGCCUGAUAUGAUAAAAUUAACUGCAAAUCAACGAUUAAUACAUACUUUACAUAUCCUUAAUUUUGGUAUUUUAAAGGGUGACAGACAAUCAGCUAUGGAAGUGCAUUUUUCUGACAAUAUUUCUUUGUCUAGAACAACAGCAGUUCCUGUAUGGUGGUCUCCAAUAGGUUCUUCACAAUGGCAUAAAGGUCAUAUUAAAGUGUGGGGCAAAGGGUUUGUUUGUGUCAUUAUAGAGGACCAACGCUUGAUCUGGCUGCCUAGAAAGCGGAUCAAGAUACGCUAUAAAGAGUAACUCCCAGCAACAUCGCCAUCUGAGACAGCUGUCCCAGGCGAUGUCCCUCAACCAGUUCCAUCACUGGAGUGAGAAUCUCUACAUGAUAAUGAAGUUUUUUAUUCUAAUCUCUAUACACAUACACAUAACCCAGGCCUGUACUAUUACUGCUAGUAUUAGCAGUCCUCCGCACUUUGGCCGGGGAGUAGAACUUCACUGUAUCUCCACUUGUUCAACUCCUGUAGGCCCAGUGAUUUGGAAAAAGGAUGGUAAUGAAAUAUAUAGACAGAAAGAUGGAGGAAAACUUGGUUGGGAUAAUGCUACCGAUCAGUCUAAAAGAGACAAUACCCGCUAUGAUAUUUAUAAAGCAGUUUUAACCCAGAAUGACAUUGGCAAUUAUUCUUGUGAAAAAUUCCAGAAGGGAAGCCUUGAUCAAAUAUAUAAAAGUAGUUAUGUUUAUUUGGAUAUUUCACUAACUGCAGAGAAUGAAUAUUCUUCACCCAAUAUGUGUUUGCAAUUGGCUAAUCAAGGGCUUAACAAGACAUUAUUUUGUAUAGCAAGUGAUUCCUCUAUUAGUGGAAUCUUAAAGAAGAAUUUGAUAGGCAUAGGACUCCCUUUUUCAGUUGUUUACCAAUAUUUCUGGAAUAAAUAUUACUUUAGCCCCCAAGAUUCUUACUUGAGAAAUUCAAUUGAAUUUACCAGUUAGCACCACUAUAGUUUCUAGUUGUGUAUGUAUCAACUGUACUAAUAUACAUUCUUACUGUAAUUCUACUAUUCAUGUAAAAUGGCCAUAUGGGUAUAGACUCCCCAAUGACUGGGUGUUUUUGUGUGAUAACAAAAUCUAUCAAGCCCUUUCCUCACAUUAUCAAGGCGUCUGUGGUAUAGGACGUAUUCUCCCAGCCCUUAUAGAUCAUCCUGGAUUUAAACACUGAAGAGUGACCCGAGCCCUGCCUCCAGAUUGUGACGACAACUUGAAAUUGUUGGACCCCGUUGCCGUUGCAGUCGCAGCGGCGUUUGUAUUGCCUGUACCAAGAUUCGUUGCAGGAAUGCAGAAGGAAAUGUCUAAGCUGGCCUGUGCCUACAGCAAGACUGCAGAUCUGACUGCCUCCAUACUGUCAGAACUUAAUCCGGACCUGGGAGAAGUUCGAGUGGCAGUGCUCCAGAAUCGUGCUGCCAUAGACUAUUUGUUGCUGAAAGAAUAUUUGGGCUGUGAACAAUUUCCUGGGAUGUGUUGUUUUAAUAUAUCUGAUUUUUCACAGACAAUUCAAAACCAGUUGGAUGAUAUUCACCAUAUUAUUGAUAAGUUUUCACAAUUACCUGGAUUAUCUGAUUGGUUCUCUUGGUUUCACUGGCCAAUACUUGUAGGCCUACUUCUUUUAUGCAUUUGCCUUCCUGUUUUGGUAGCAUGGGUGCGCCAUCUGAUUGCUGGCUUAAUAAAGCCAAUUCAUGCAUAUGCUAUAUUUCAAGAAGUCAUGGCAAAAAAAUAAUAAUUGUAUGUUAUUUUCUUGAGAGUCCAUGUGACAGAUCACUGUAUAUUUUAAAAUUCUGCAGCAAUUAAGGGGAUGACGAAGUGUUUGCAUAAAUCUUUUGUAUGCCUCUUUGCUCUAUGGCAUUUACUCCCUGUACGGCCCCAAGAGAUGGCUGGCUAGCCAGAGACGGGUAAGAUUCCUCACGGGAGGAACAACCUAAGACAGGCACAGUCGCGGGGGCCAACAGGUCGAGAGAUGAGGGGGUCAACUGAGGCGUGGCUUAGCACCUCGCCCCCCCUGAGGAGGCAUUUCUUGUCGCCCCUUCCUUUAACAAGCUGCAGUAGAAUAACGGACUUCUCUUCCUUUUUUAUUUAAAAACGGGGGAAAUGUAGGUUGCCAUCCAUAGAUGAUUCUGUUUCUGUGGGAAUUGUUUGCCUUCCUUGUUGUCUGUGGUGCACGCAGCAGCUCACUAAAUCUAAACUGAGAUCUGUCUCUUCUUAUCUCUACCCCUCAUUGCCUGGCACCAGGGAGACUUGCCCCAGCGACCUGGAGGCAAUUACAUUCCUGUAGUAAAGCAUGUUAAUCACUGUGUCUAGAAACUUGUUAACCCCCUCAAGAAUGUGAUGCCUGAUCAAUAAAUGAGAGGUGCCUUUCCAGCACCACUCUUGAGCGGGUAUGCCUGGAGUCCCCCGGCUGGCCCACUCGGGUCUUCGAUA